rnacentral:tRNA from 1 species
GCCGUCAUCGUCUAGUUUGGUUCAGGACGCACGGUUCUCAUCCGUGUAACCCGGGUUCAAAUCCCGGUGACGGCGCCA